rnacentral:rRNA from 1 species
GAGUUUGAUCGUGGCUCAGGAUGAACGCUGGCGGCGUGCCUAAUACAUGCAAGUCGAGCGAACAGACGGGGAGCUUGCUCCCCUGACGUUAGCGGCGGACGGGUGAGUAACACGUGGGUAACCUACCUAUAAGACUGGAAUAACUCCGGGAAACCGGGGCUAAUGCCGGAUAACAUGUUGGACCGCAUGGUCCUACAGUGAAAGACGGUCUUGCUGUCACUUAUAGGUGGACCCGCGCCGUAUUAGCUAGUUGGUAAGGUAACGGCUUACCAAGGCAACGAUACGUAGCCGACCUGAGAGGGUGAUCGGCCACACUGGAACUGAGACACGGUCCAGACUCCUACGGGAGGCAGCAGUAGGGAAUCUUCCGCAAUGGGCGAAAGCCUGACGGAGCAACGCCGCGUGAGUGAUGAAGGCCUUCGGUC